ACCUCGGUGGUGCAGUGGUAGCACAUGUCCUCGGUAUGGAUGAAACGCGGGAUUCGACUCCCGUCUGAGGUC